rnacentral:rRNA from 1 species
UGCCAGACUCCUACGGGAGGCAGCAGUGGGGAAUAUUGCACAAUGGGGGGAACCCUGAUGCAGCGAUGCCGCGUGGAGGAAGAAGGUUUUCGGAUUGUAAACUCCUUUUAUCAGGGACGAUAAUGACGGUACCUGAAGAAAAAGCUCCGGCUAACUACGUGCCAGCAGCCGCGGUAAUACGUAGGGAGCGAGCGUUGUCCGGAAUUACUGGGUGUAAAGGGAGCGUAGACGGCAGUGCAAGUCUGAAGUGAAAGCCCCGGGCUUAACCCGGGAACUGCUUUGGAAACUGUACGGCUGGAGUGCUGGAGAGGUAAGCGGAAUUCCUAGUGUAGCGGUGAAAUGCGUAGAUAUUAGGAGGAACACCAGUGGCGAAGGCGGCUUACUGGACAGUAACUGACGUUGAGGCUCGAAAGCGUGGGGAGCAAACAGGAUUAGAUACCCUCGUAAC